UGUACGUAAAUGACAGAAACUUUUGUUUAUUGUAUGUGAUCUCACCCGUUAGGAUGGAAACAUACACAGUGUGUGGUUUCAGUUACUGACAAGACAGUGUUGCCCGAAGUGACACAUUGGACUGCAGGGGGUGGAGAUCUCACCAGAGAAAAUAACUUAGAUAGGAAAAUGAAAUUUCAAAAUGAAUGUAAAAAUGUAUCUUUUAUUACUUAAAUAGGAAUCCUAUAUUACAUGUUUUAAAUUUUGACUUGAUUCACACCUUGGGAGUAUCUCAUGUGUACCUUGAGGAUGUUUUGUUGUAAUUGGCAUCGCAUUCCAUUGAAAAUUUUUAUAUUUCAAAUUGUUUUUUCCUAAAAUGUUACACACUAUUAAUGCUAUACCUUUAUAAAUUUAUAUGUUUUGGGUGUUACACGUAUUACUCGUGAUUUCUCUUACAUAAUUUUAUGAUUUAAUGUUUCGGUUCUUCACACCACCUGUAUCUCACUAUUUUUAGUAUUUACAUCUAUAUUUGAUAAUAUGACUCUCAGUACUGGCUCGUAAUUCUUCGUCCAAAUUGUCUACAUUCCACCUUCAGGAUUCUAGAAGAGCAUUUCUCUAACCUUUGGUUAGUGAAACCUCUUCAGGGAAUACUCGAAUGGGACUCACUUCCCAUUCCUAUCUGAAAUUCCUUCCUCUUUCAGAGUCUGUCAGACAAGAAAACGUAACAUCCAUCAAUGUACAUUCUAGUUAGUCACAAUAUAAGACAAGACAAGUGAUAUACUCUGUGUUUUAUUUAAAAAUUAGUCUGUAAACAUUGCAAAACACUGGGACUUUCUGAAUCAAUGACCCUCGAGAAUGUCGAACUUGAGUAAAUCAUCACAUAGAGCAGCUAAGUUAUUAUGUGAACUUUCAUUAACUGCGAUUGAAAUUUUCUGGUGUUCCUCAUCCUCGUACUUGUGAAAUGCAGAGGCCCAAGCUAUUAAGUUGCUCCAAUGUUAUAAUUGAGAAUUCACCAUUACCUCUCUCCAAUUAGAACUGCUCAGCAUCAGUGGAAAUUAAAAUCUUCCAUCGUGUCACACAUUUAAGAGUGGCAUUUUAUAAUGAUGGCCAGGGCAUGUGUGUGGCCAGUGAAUAUUCCUGGUACUGUGAGUGUUUUGGCAGAGAUGCUGCAAACUGCAGUGUACUGUGUACAUGGGCCCAAAUUGCUGAAAGCAACCAGCAGUAAGCGUGGUGGUUGGUCCACAAUUUCACAGUGUCUACUUGUACAUUAUCGUGGUAACCUAUACUCCUUGUCACCCUCCGUUUCUGUCUAUCCCCACUAGUUAGUACCCUUUUCUGGCUGCCAUCCACCUUCCCCCAUAGUCCUCACUGCAGUCGACAGCUUAGCCAUUGGAACCUACUGCUCCCCCAUCUGAUCCAUCAACCUAGGCCACCCAUAAACCUUUACCAUGACCUGGUAAACUGCCCUGCUGUCAACACCACUUCCAAUCAUUCUGUCUCAUGUCUAUCCUGAACUAUCACGCCUUGCUCCUUCAAAGAGCUCUCUUACUCCAGGCCUCCUAACCCGCUCCUCCAGCACUUUCUGUGAAGUGCACCACUGACUAUAUUGCCAUGACACCUGGGCCAUCAGCUUUCUGCCAUCCCCACCCCCCUCCGCUGGACAAAUGGAGAACCACAUAUGCUGCGAUAGAGGCAGCGUGCCAGCAACUGUAUGCGAUACUAAAUGCUCAUGAACCCAUCUAAUGUGACAUCUGCACCAGUACCGAUCACCCAGCCCCCCCUUGAAGUAUGCCCAACCACAUUUCCUCCUGGACUUCCUCAAGACAGUCUUUGAGCGCUUAUAUGGUCUGGCCCACCCUGUCAUCCAUGCAUCUGUCUUGCUCGUUCUCGAGCAUUACGUUUGGCCCAAUAUCCAGUGCAACUGCAACAAAUGAGCCCAUGCCUGUGUCCUGAGCCACUGCUCUAAAGUAGGCAUGCACCUUCUUGCUCCCAUCACUCCUUCCACCCCGGUGGACCAUCACUUCUCCCACAUAUGUGUGGACAUCACAGUCCCCCUGCCAUCUUUCAACAGCCACCAGUAUCUCCUUACUAUCAUUGGUAGGUUCACCCAGUGGCUUGAUGCAGUGCCUCUGCCCAACAUAACCAUGGACACACGGUGUCUCUGGUGCCCCCACCACACAUCACUGAUCACACCAUCGGCUAUCGAGAUUGCACCAAGCAACAGUUACAGUGCUUCACCCAGCACCCCUGAUCCGAGUAGUGGCCUGUGGGAUCCUAGGGUGAAGGCUGUCUUUUGUUCAGCCCACCGACCAACCCGACAGAGCCACUGAUUACAUCAGCCAUCCUGCCUUGCCUCUGGACAUUUUGCCUACUGUCAUGCCUGAGUCAUCAGGAAAAGACACCAUGCCCCUGCCACAGUGCCGCCAUGUGUUCCAUGGCAACACAUGACCUAACCUACCAGCACAGGGUGCCCACAGCGGAAGCCAAAGACACAGUAUACCACAAUUCGCAGGGUGCACUGUGUGCCAGACACCACAUGUUACCUGGCCACAGGCCAGCACACUACUGCCCCUCUUGCGGAAUCCUGCCCCCGUGCCACACCAUUCCCUACUGCACUACAGUGCGUGCGCACCUAUCACCUAUCUCUUUCAGCAGAUGACAACGGCGAACAACGUGGAUUGGCUGCAAGCAAAGCAGAUGGAUGUAGUGGAAUUAUCUCCACCAUGCACUCCCUUGUGGUAGCACCAGGGCUUUUCCAGAGAGAAACCUGCAAUUGGAAGAGCUCCAUGACUAGCACUUCUGCAAUGCUGAACAAGUGACAUGCUCACCUGGGUGAGAUAGUGUUUUAUAGUGAGUGUCCUUUGUUCUUGUGUGAACUUGAAGAAGGGACUUGCUAUGAGGUGUAGUGAAGGUAUUCUGUACAUGUACAGAUGCAGAGAAGCUGACACUGAUGAGGCUUUAUCACAUGCUUCUGCUGAAGAAUGAUUGUUGGCAUCUGCAAAAGCUUGCUGAUCACUAGUGGCAGAGUGUUAGAAUUUUGUUCAUAUGGACCAAUUUGAGAGUGAUGUUUUUCAUGCUGUCCCUGGCAGUUUCAAGGGAUCAAUAGGCUACAUCAGCAUCACAGAAUUCUUAGUAAUGAGUGUAUCAUAGUAGAUAGUGUGUCACAUGUUGCCGUAUUGCCAUAGUCUACUGUGUGCUUGCCCACAAGUUUUCUUUUCUUAUAUUUGCUGGGUAUGGAAUUGCUAUGUAUUAUUUUCAACAUUUACAAUUUGUUACUUGUCACUCAUUGAAACGUACAGUUCUGUGAGGCUACUGUGAGCUAUAGGAAUUAUUUCGACUGUGUCCAUUUUUAUCACUAUGUAAUUUCAGUGUUUUAAUGUGUGCUAUGUUCAUUUCUGUGUUCUUUAAGGAUUGACUCGUCUUUGAGUGUCGAAAGGAUCUCUGUAUUUUAUCAAAUAGCCAAAUUUAAAGUGGAGAAAUUCUCAUUGAUUUCAAUAGAUUCCCAUGUUCAGGACAUUGAGCGCUUUUGCUCUCAACAAUUUUGAACAAUAACCCCAUGGGCUUUACUGAUAUGCUGUGAUUGUCAGAAUAGCAAUAAGAGUGAAUAGGACGAUGAAGUUGAGCCUACCCAUAAGAAAAGGAUAAGGAAAGGUGUACGUCAUCCUGAACAGUAUGAAUGAAAUGUAAUCAAAACUGCUAAACUUAAGGGAUACCAGUUACUGAGAGCGGUACCAGAGUGGUAACUGAGCCCCACAGGGCAUGAUGUGCAUUGAAGUCACUCAAUGGAGGAGAGCCCAGAUCUCUGUCAGCGCAUCUCCAUCCAAUGGAUUGUGAAGUGUGUGACAGAACCAUUGCAAAAGCAAUGACCUGUAUUAAUGAUUUGUGUGGCAAAGAUGCAACAAUGGAGAAAGCUGGACAUGAGAAGAAAAUAUGAUGACCAUCUGAAAUAAUGGUUUAAUAGUCAAAAGUAAAAUGUAUCACUAUAUGUUUGCGUGUGUAAGUGGUUCCAAAACAGUUUAACAUGUGUCUUAUUGUUAGUUAUCAUGAAGGAGUUGCACUGGAUAGUCAAGAUCACUCUGGAGAGUUUUCAUUGUUGGGGACGUGCUGACAAUUAUAGUAAGCUGUAGAAUGGACAGUUGUAGUGCAGUGGUGAAACUUGCAGUACUAAUUGAGUUUGGUUAUUUACAGGUCAGAUUAAUGGCUCGAGAUAGCUGAUUUGCUCAGCUCUGGGAGUUCCUGCUGGUGAAUUACUGUUUAGUGGUUCCCACUGUGAAUGACUGAAUUGUUAGGGAGGGAGAUCUGGCUGUGUAAUAGCAUGAAGAGAGGUGUUAAAUAAUUUGUUGGAUGACAGAAAUAUUUCAUCGUGAGGACUGUACUGAUAUCAAGCCCUUAUUGUUGAUAUGUGAUUGGAUUUACUGCCAAAUACUGAUCUAGAUUAUUCCAUACUUUCUAACUAGUGAUUCCUGUUUAGCAAGUUCAGAGAUAAUUGAGUGUUGCUGUGUUCUUGUAUAUAUGGCCAAUCAGAGGAUCAAGUGUUUGCCAUGUUGGUUUGAAGAAUUUGCACACACUAAGAUGAUAGUGUGGUUCGUUACUGGUGUAGAGGAUUGAGUAGCAGUGACUCAAUUUGCAACCGAUUUGACUGAACAUGCACUAGAGAAUUUCAGAACAAAACUGUACAUUUUUCAUAUAGUGUUGACUGCUUGUAAACUGUCAAGAUUUUGACUGUAAUGGUUAAUAUAACCCAAUGCACCAUUUAUGCAGACAGUCUUAUCAUUACUUACAGCUUCUACAUUGUGAGUGACCAUUAAAUUAGGUAAAAAUAGUGGGUCGUAAUUUGCCAACACCUGAAGAGGCAUAAUUUUUGUUUUAAUUCUAUAAAUGUAGUGGUGGUAACGCAUAGACUUCUCUUUUUUUCAAAUUUUAAAUCCCUGUCCUGUGGGAUAUAUAAUUAUUGACAUCAAUUUCUUAUGUACUAGAAAAAAUAAAAUAAAGUUUUGCUGCAUCAGCCUGAAUUAUUAAAAAAUACCCCAAAUAUUAUUUGAAAAAAGUAAUGAAAUAAUCCCCAAAGUAACUCAAGUCCCAAAAACAAAAUACUAAAUAAAAUAAAAUACAUGAAACUUUAGAACAUUUGUAAAAGAAAAUAUAUAAAUUCAAAGAUAUUAUUAGUUAGCUGUCAGUGACUUGAGUGACUUGAUCAAAGAAACAAAGUUCAGAGAUACACUUACUUAGUAACACUUCCAACUUGAUGAUAUUAUUUGAGUGGAAACUUUAUGCACAAAAAUAAAUAAGAAAGGAAUAUAUUAUCCUUAUAGGAACAUAAUAUUUACAAAGACAUUUACUUUAUGUUGAAACAAAACAGACAUAAUAUGGUGUCAACUAAAAUUAUAUCAUUGACUCAGUGUUAAAUUGUCCCCCUGAUUUAAAUGGCAAAACUUAACUCACAAUUUAUGGAGAAGUGUUACCAUUAUGUAUUGUAAAAUACUGUAAGUAGAACAAAUUCCUUAAGCUGUAGGUUUAUCCUGAAUUAAUUAACUUUGUUUGGGAAAUGGUUGUUGGAUACUGUGUUUAAUUAGGGAGCUUAAUCAUUAUGUAAUUUUAGUCAUGCAAUAGUCAACAAAUCCUCUGUAGUUGAACUGCACAUUAACAUGCAUUAUUUUCUUAUGGUAUGGCCUCAAAAAUCAUAUUUAAAAUUAAUUCUUAGUUGAUUAUUAUUCAAAGUAAAUUAAGGCUAUUUUUCAUUAAAUCAAUUUAAAAUUUAUGCAUAAAUAAUACUGCUGAGUACAACACUUGUUACUGGUACAUAGCGGAUAUAUGAUUCUGAAUAUCAGCAAAUAUAUAUAGAUUACUUAUCAAUACAUAUUGCUUUAUUGAGCAUGAAAGCAAGAGUGUAACAGUAUGUUCACAUUUAGUAAAGCAUUUUACAAGGGUAGUAUUAAAUUUCAGUUAUGUGUAACUAUAGCAUUUACUAUUCGCAAAUUAUUUAAAAGUCAAGCAACAUACUAGCAAAUACAUAAUGGCACCUGGUACUAAUUAUGACUACACAGUUCAGAUGCAAUAGGUAAAAAUUAAAUCAAUAAAUAACCUGGCAAAUUUCAAGUCAACUGCUAAGGCAUAUUUGACUCAUCACUGCUUCUAAAGCCUCUACGAGUUCCUUCAGAAAGUUCACUAAAGAUUUGUGUCUUUGCCUUAGUGACGUAUCAUAUAAAUGUUACUAGAACUUUAAUGAUUUAACAUGUAAAUGUUAUUUUUGCACAAUAUUUGCUCUGUAUAUUGUAACUCAGUGAUCAUUUAAUGUAGAAAUAAUGAAAUUAAUGCUAAUUUAAUAUUAUAUUUUUUAUACAUUGACUUGUCCUACAUCAGAAUGCACUAGUUGU